rnacentral:rRNA from 9 species
AUUCUCUUUGACUAGGGAUCCAAAGAGGGUGCUAGACCCUUACGCAUUGUUGACUUUUCGUACGCGUUCGUUUCUUGGAGUAGGGUUGUUUUGGAUCGCAGCCCAAAGUAGGUGGUAUACUUCAUCUAAAGCUAAAUACGACUACGAAUCCGAUAGCAAACAAGUACCGUGAGGGAAAGUUGCAAAGUACUUUGAAGAGAGAGUUCAAGAGGACGUGAAACCGGUAGGAUGGAAGCAGAUAAAGUUGACGAACGUGUGUCGUAUUCAGAACUACAAUUUGUGGUUUGUUUUUACGAUCGAUGUGGGCUGGCGUCUUUGGUUAACUUAGUGUCUGGCGGCAAUGGUGACCCUGCGGAGGGAUAAUCGGUUGUCGUGCGAUGCUUGGUAUGGCUAGAGGUUCGCUGGUCUUAUAGUCAUCGCUUUAUCUGACCCGUCUUGAAACACGGACCAAGGAGUGUAGCGCUUACGCGAGUCUUAGAGUGUGUCAAAACUUUGAGGCGUAACGAAAGUAAAUGUGGAUUUAUUCACUGACUUGGGAUGCGUUGUCUUUUUUGGAUAGCGUUGGACCAUGGUUUUAUCGUAAUCGCUUGCGAUGCGGUGAAAAUAGAGCGUAAGCGGUGCGA